UACAGAGGGGGCAAGCGUUAUUCGGAAUUAUUGGGCGUAAAGGGCGCGUAGGCGGCCUGGCAAGUGGAUGGUGAAAUCCCUCGGCUUAACCGAGGAACUGCCGUCCAAACUGCUUGGCUUGAGUCCGGGAGAGGUGAGUGGAAUUCCCAGUGUAGCGGUGAAAUGCGUAGAUAUUGGGAGGAACACCAGUGGCGAAGGCGGCUCACUGGACCGGAACUGACGCUGAUGCGCGAAAGCGUGGGGAGCAAACGGG
rnacentral:rRNA from 1 species